AUUAGGCAAAAAAAUGCUGCAUUUCCUUUAUUUAGCAUUCAGGAGCAGGAUCUUUGCACCUCUGCAUACUCUUCUCUUUCCUACUCUAUGCACAGCAGAGUCAAACCUAGAACACCAGCCAAAGUUUUGGAUGGUCUGGAAUGUGGAUUAAGAGCUGUCUGCAUAGCCCAGAACUGGCCCAGAAGGAGGAAGAGAAAUAACUCCUAAUGUUGACAAGUCCAACUCUGAAAUGUCCACAGCACUAUGGAGCCUCUGGAUGGAUGGAAGUGACAAAGUCCCUUCCUCAUUGCGAUUAUUGGCAAACAACCUUUGCCUGUUUCAUCACCUUUUGCAGGUACCAAGUCUCCCUGGUAUAAAGUCAAGUAGAUGAAAGUAAGUUACUCAUCCUGCUACCUGGUUCUCUGGACCACUGAGGAAAUACCUGCAUACAAUCAACCCCAGAAUGCACUGGCCACUGCCUGGUUUUAUCAGAGACCUCCCUAUGGGUCACAAAGUGAUUCUGAGAAAGUAAAAACCAUUCCAACAGCUGGCAGCCAACAGCUAACAACUAGGCUGAAGCAAAAUGUUCCCAAUUGAACAUAAACAACUUUCCCAGAAUAUAAGCAAUAAUCAGAAAAGGCUAAUCUGUGACCAUGCCUAAAACAUGACAGAGACAAACCCCUACCUCAACCACCAAAAUAAAGACUUUCUUUUUCUUUUAUUUUUGCUUUUCUCACUGACAGGAGUAACCAUUGCUUCUUUACCAAUGACAACUCUCUGAAACUGCUUCAAUCCUUUUACCUACUGGAUAAAAAUUGCCAAGAUACCCAGUCACCAAGUUUCCAGCACUUUCUGUAGAACUGGCCCCAGAGUUGGUCUCCACUUCCUGACACACCCAAUCCAAACCUGACUGCCAGCUUCCUUCAACAUUCCUAAGAAUCACCGAGCACAAGCACAAGCCCAAGACCUAUAAUAAAGGUCUCUCAACAAAAUGUCCCAUGGGUCCCAUUGUGUGUGCGCUCCCUGACAACAACAAGCUAAAUAGACCUAAUUUUGAACACAGCUGCAUUUCCUGGUGGUCUUGGCUGUUGGGCUUCAACAUUAUGAAAGACGAGACACUUCUUCAGUUCUUAUAAGCAACUGAUGCAUAAUUCUAAACAUUUUAAUGUAUGAAUAAGGGCUAAUUACCAGUAUGGCCUCCUAGUAUUCUGAUGUGUGACUAGGUUGUUCUGAGGAUUCAGAUUUGGUGUUCUCUGAAAUAUGGUUCACACUUUGUAAUUGCAGAGUUCCUCCCACGCAGGCAUCAGGGGUACUCUGUUCUCUGCAUCCUCAGUGCUGGAGGUGAUUAAGAACUGAGUGGCUCUGCUUCAGUGGGCUUGGCUGCGUCUUGGCUCUCCUUCAUCUCUUUCAUAUUCCAGUAGACUAGCCCAGGCUUAUUCUCACUUCUGCUGUAUUCCAUUAAACAAAGCGAGUCAUGAGACCAGCCCAAUAUUCAGAAUGGGCGGGGACUACAAAGUUACAGGGCAAAGGGCAUGAUAUUAAUACCACUGGGUGGCCAUCGAAGAAACCCAGCAAUGCUACUGUUUAACCUUUCUGUGUCUUAGUGUCUUCACCGGUAAAAUAGAGAAAAUAAUAUCCACCUCAUAGAAUAUUGUAGGGCCUAAAUAUGUUAAUAUUUGCAAAAUGUAGAGACUAGUCCCCAGAACCCAGUAGGCAAUAUAUAAAUGUUUGGUUAUUAUUAUUGUCUUGAGUUGGUUAGAGUGUAAAAUUAAAGCACUUCUUGCCUUAUAGUUUCACAUUUUUCUUGGUUUUAUUUAAUUAUCUAUCUGUUUGUUUAGCCUUACAGUAGGUACUGACAUGUACAUAUUUUCAUCACAAGUGGUUUGGGCCCACUGUUGUCAACUAUCAGGCCUUGAGAUACAUAUGCAUUUCGAGUAAUAAGAUAUUCAUUUUCUUAUUGCUAAAGCAGAUAGCUAUGUAACUCCCUCUGAAUUUACUUGUUCAGUAUCACUUUAUUAGCUGUGCUUCCCUUAAACUUGUCUCAUUAGAGUAACUUGCAACCAAAUCUCAAGGUAUGUGUAAUAAAAUUACUGUGUUAUUUUUAAGUGUCUAGAGAAUCAUUUUAUAAUGUAAAAUUUUGUAUACAUUCAUAUUGCAACUGCAUUUUCUUCCCUCUCCAAUUCUCAGUCAGUUCUCUUCUCCACCGGCAAACGGGAUCGGGAAGGCAGACCCCCUAGAAUUUUGCAGUGCAAUACCUGUGUGAUUAUAUACAACAGCCCAGGGACUGUCACGCCAUCUAAGUGAGGUUCAGUCAAAUAAAGUUGAACCACCCAUUAAGAGUAACCUCCAAUGUAAUGCUCACCGUACUCUGUUCCUGAGGAGUUUAUUUUACUGGUUUAUCUUUGUUGUUUUUCAUAAUACAAAGCAAAUGCUGCUUACACAGGGUUUUCAGCAGAAGCCAGCCG
ensembl:lncRNA